AACGAACGCUGGCGGCAUGCCUAACACAUGCAAGUCGAACGAGACCUUCGGGUCUAGUGGCGCACGGGUGCGUAACGCGUGGGAACCUGCCCUUAGGUUCGGAAUAACUCAGAGAAAUUUGAGCUAAUACCGGAUAAUGUCUUCGGACCAAAGAUUUAUCGCCUUUGGAUGGGCCCGCGUAGGAUUAGCUUGUUGGUGGGGUAAUGGCCUACCAAGGCGACGAUCCUUAGCUGGUCUGAGAGGAUGACCAGCCACACUGGGACUGAGACACGGCCCAGACUCCUACGGGAGGCAGCAGUGGGGAAUAUUGGACAAUGGGCGAAAGCCUGAUCCAGCAAUGCCGCGUGAGUGAUGAAGGCCUUAGGGUUGUAAAGCUCUUUUACCAGGGAUGAUAAUGACAGUACCUGGAGAAUAAGCUCCGGCUAACUCCGUG
rnacentral:rRNA from 1 species